ensembl:snRNA LOC120101953 U6 spliceosomal RNA
GUGCUCGCUUCGGCAGCACGUAUACUAAAACUGGAAAGAUACAGAGAAGAUUAGCAUGGCCCCCGUGCAAGGAUGACACGCAAAUUCCUAAGAACUCAAGAAGUUAG